UUCUUACGUGGGAAACACGGAGGAACUCACAUUAAGAAAAGAAAUUAAGAUGUCAGAGCUGAAUCUGUCACUGCAGUAGUGAACAUUCAUCCUUUACCGAAAGCCUCUUGUUAUGUGCCCUGCCUGAACCAGAGAUCCAGAAAUGGAGAUGACCCAGCCUGCCCGUGACGCACCGGUGUCACAAAGGGGUGAAUUUGGUACAACUGCACUCACACGAGGCCCCUGGAGGAGUCAAAUCCACAGAACAGAAGGUCCUUGAUCUACCGAGUUAAUUUUUGCAUAUGGUGUGAGAUGGUGAGAGACCGAGAAUGGGCUCUGAAUGGCAGAGCUUUCAGGAAGUGGUUCCUGAAAUUACAAGGCUCAGGAGCUCCCAAGGGCCUCAUAGACUCUUGAGGGGACACUGAACCAGGUGGCAGCCCAUGCAGGUGACGGUGGGUGUAGCCAGGCCAACAGUGACCUGAUUAACAGCUGCUGCCACCCUCAGGCACAACUGAAUGAAGACCACUGUGGCACCGCAGAAUCUCUGCUCCCUUUGGAAAGUCAGUGGCCAGAAUCCCCCAACCUGCACCUAUCUCCUCAUUCCCUGUCACCGGACCUGCACCUCCCCGUCCCUGGUCACCCUGGCACACGUGCCUGGCCCACAACAUCUCCUGGCAGCA